rnacentral:lncRNA from 1 species
UUUAUUGGAAUCCUUUAAAUAAUUACAUUAAUUAUUGAAAAGUACAUAAUAAUUGUUUGGAAAAAGUAAAGUUCGAGGAUGCCGGCUUCUAUUUUUUUACAGUUUUAAUUUAGUCUCGUUAUACUGUGGACUCAUCGUACUAAACAAUUGACAGAGGACAAUUUGCACAUACUUCUUGUUCAGCAGGGAUUUAUAUAUAUAUGGACGGUUAAUGAGAUUAUGAAUGAAUGAUGCAAAUCUCUCGUGCUAAGUGUUUUUAAACUAUUUGGCUAUUAAUAUCUCAGCUUCACCUUCCUUCUCCCAUCUGAAUUGUUUUGGCGCAGAAUUGAGACAUUAACAAGCCUUUGCUGAAAUGAGUAGCCGUUACAAUUGCAACGCUUUCGCUGAAGAAGAAGCAGUCAACCCCAUAGCAGUAAGCUCCUUUCUCUUCUCAUAACACAUCUCCUUUGCAUGAAACUUAAUUAUGACAUCAAAGCCAUGUCCAAAAGCGGUUUGUUAUUAUUAGUAUUACUCAUCCUAGGUUACGCGCGUUGCACAUGCGUUCCGUCUCAUGAAGUAAUUUUUUCAAAGAUGACACAAAUAUGUCCUGAUUUGCCUUCUUUUGCUAAUUAUAAAGUUAAGUUCUCAAGUUAUAUAAAAAAAAAUUUUAAAGGAGAAAAUUACAAAUAAUUUUUUUGGUAAUUAAAUGAUUUUAUUCAUCAGUAUCAAUAUGUACAAUGUUAAAACUGAGUCUGGACUACCCCAGCCUCAUACAACUUCAUCAACUCAAUAUUUGUAGUAACGCCUAAGCCUGAAAAUUCAUUUAUGCUAUUUUCAUCAUUAACUUGCUCUGUCUUGAUCCCUUGUUGACAACCUCUUGCACAAUCUGUCUAACUAACAUUCCCGGUGUCCUCUGUUGCCCUUGGAAUACUCUUUUAUUUUGUUCCUUCCAUAGGUGAUAAACAGCACAUACCAAUGUCAAUCUGAAUAGUCGUGCAGUUGCAUUGUUUCCUUUUACAUUGUCUUCUGCCCAUCGUAUCUCCCUUUGUCACUCCAUCACAGGCCUUGUUAUGCCUUUCCAGGUGAGCAGCUUGUUGGAAUGAAUACAAAUAAAACACUUUAGCCUUCAUAUCGAAUUACUUGGAACAACAACAUAAGCGGAAGCGUACCUGAAUCCAUAAGUGGAAGCUCCUUAAUCCUUCUU